UACGGGGGGGGGCAAGCGUUUGUUCGGAAUUACUGGGCGUAAAGGGCUCGUAGGCGGCCAACUAAGUCGGACGUGAAAUCCCCAGGCUCAACCUGGGAACUGCGUCCGAUACUGGAUGGCUUGAAUCCGGGAGAGGGAUGCAGAAUUCCAGGUGUAGCGGUGAAAUGCGUAGAUAUCUGGAGGAAUACCGGUGGCGAAGGCGGCAUCCUGGACCGGCAUUGACGCUGAGGCGCGAAAGCCAGGGAAGCAAACGGG
rnacentral:rRNA from 1 species